CUCCUACGGGAGGCAGCAGUGGGGAAUAUUGCACAAUGGGGGAAACCCUGAUGCAGCGACGCCGCGUGGAGGAAGAAGGUCUUCGGAUUGUAAACUCCUGUUGUUGAGGAAGAUAAUGACGGUACUCAACAAGGAAGUGACGGCUAACUACGUGCCAGCAGCCGCGGUAAAACGUAGGUCACAAGCGUUGUCCGGAAUUACUGGGUGUAAAGGGAGCGCAGGCGGGAAGACAAGUUGGAAGUGAAAUCUAUGGGCUCAACCCAUAAACUGCUUUCAAAACUGUUUUUCUUGAGUAGUGCAGAGGUAGGCGGAAUUCCCGGUGUAGCGGUGGAAUGCGUAGAUAUCGGGAGGAACACCAGUGGCGAAGGCGGCCUACUGGGCACCAACUGACGCUGAGGCUCGAAAGUGUGGGUAGCAAACAGGAUUAGAUACCCUGGUAGUCCACACCGUAAACGAUGAUUACUAGGUGUUGGAGGAUUGACCCCUUCAGUGCCGCAGUUAACACAAUAAGUAAUCCACCUGGGGAGUACGACCGCAAGGUUGAAACUCAAAGGAAUUGACGGGGGCCCGCACAAGCAGUGGAGUAUGUGGUUUAAUUCGACGCAACGCGAAGAACCUUACCAAGUCUUGACAUCCCUUGACGAACAUAGAAAUAUGUUUUCUCUUCGGAGCAAGGAGACAGGUGGUGCAUGGUUGUCGUCAGCUCGUGUCGUGAGAUGUUGGGUUAAGUCCCGCAACGAGCGCAACCCUUGCCUUCAGUUACCAGCAUUUAGUUGGGGACUCUGGAGGGACUGCCGGUGAUAAACCGGAGGAAGGUGGGGAUGACGUCAAAUCAUCAUGCCCCUUAUGGCCUGGGCUACACACGUACUACAAUGGCUGUUACAACGUGCAGCGACCUAGCGAUAGGAAGCGAAUCACUAAAAGACAGUCUCAGUUCGGAUUGAAGUCUGCAACUCGACUUCAUGAAGCUGGAAUCGCUAGUAAUCGCGGAUCAGAAUGCCGCGGUGAAUACGUUCUCGGGCCUUGUACACACCGC
rnacentral:rRNA from 1 species